rnacentral:lncRNA from 1 species
AGAGUCAGCUUUGUGUCUCCUUUUGCCCAGAAGAAUCCAGUUCCUGGGGCAGACAAUUCUGUAUCACACACUUACCAUAUUCCUAGAAACAUGGGUAUUGGUGUGGAAGGCACUUCCACAUCCACAUCUUCCUAAUGCUCCUCUAUGAUCUUAACUGUUCUUAGAGUUCGUUGACUGCCAUUAUAGCCAUUUUGUUGAUGAUAUAAGUAAUUUAGGGCUGAUAUCUUUAAAGAAAAACAUAGAUACUGUACUUUAUUUAGUCCAUUAGGUAUCAGACUUGAAGAGGACUGGAAUCAUGUGAAAGAUUUUUUAAAACUAUUUUCCUCUGUCAGUCCUAUGAGGGUUUAUCUCAUAUUCACAGAGCAUCUUCUUAGGCAUACAGAUAGGAGACUAGAGGUAGUCACUAUCAGGGACUCUGAUAAUAGGUUUACACAAACACAGCAAUUGCUAUCUAACUUGGGACCUAAGUAGAGAAGAGAGAACUGUAAGUAACUGAUUCAAGAGGAAAGUUCUAGAGUAAAAGAACUUUUGACUAAAAUGCUUAGAUUUUAUUGGAACUAUCUAUUCUUCUUUUCUGUGGAAAUAAAGAUAAUAAGACUAGAUCCAGCAAUGAGAAUGAAAUGUAGCAGUACAGUCUAAAAUGUAGGUGAAAGUCUUGGGCAGAUAUUGCUGAAUUGACUGUCUUGGACCAACUAGGGGUGCAGGUGCAAAGGUAUCAAAGAAGAAGUGGUGAAAUCAACAACCACUUGGUUAGUAGUGUUUAUUUUAUGGCCAUGUUCAUUUUAAAGUCACAUAUAUGCUGUCAGCUAUGUGUAGUCAGGAUAUCUAGUGAUUAAGUACAUAGAAAACUCGAUUAUGAUUGUUGAGCCUAAUUGAAAAAUAUUUCAAGGCAUUACAGCUACACCAGGAGCUAUACACAUGAAGAAUAUCUUCUAGUGGAACAUCUAUGAUAUGGACAGCCUCUUUCUGGUAGGUUCAUUUAGGAAUAAAGCUACCUGGUUGAUCAAUUUAAGUAGAAACAGGUGGCUUCAAAUAACUAAUAGGUAAGCAUUAUGAAAAUAGCAUGUUGCAAUUUUCUCUGCCUCCUCUUUCUGCACCCUGUUCAGAUGCCUAUGUAACUAUUCCCAGAACCUUAAUUUUGACAUGGGUUUCACUGUUAGGAUUAAACUUUGGAACAUGACAUUUAAAAAAAAUAUAUGGGUUUUUAAAACCAUCAGCUCAGUAUUGGUGAGCCCCAUCUGGCUCCACUUUCAUACUUCAGUUCCAGCUGUACAUCAAUACAAGUUUCAUGAUUAGGAGAUGGAGUCAGAGUCUAGGGUCCCAACUCUUGGUAAAGAUCUCAGUUUAUGAGAACUGUGCUUGCUGAAAAAUAAAACAGUAACAUCUGCCUCAAAGGAUUCUGAGAAUAAAACAAAACAAUGAUUACAGUUCUGGCCUAUACUUUAUGGAAUUUACUCUUUCUCUGGAACAGUGGUGUUCUCUAUUUAUAAAGCUUGUAGACUUCAAUGUAAUGCUAAAACAGCCCUCCAAGGAAUAGGAACAGGCCUUGACAAGGCUGAUGAGCUGACUGGCUGUCAGCCAUCAGGACUGUUUUUAACUAAAAAAAAAAAAUUAGAAAAUUUGAAUUUAAUCCUGUGGCAUAGACCUAUAACCCUAGCUAUUUGGGAGUCUGAGGUAGGGAGAUCACAAGCCCAAAUCAGCUUGUUCAACUUAGUGAGUCCUGUGUCAUAACAAAAAAUAUUUAAAUUGUUGGGAUAUGGUUCAAUGAUAGGACACUUAUAUAGCCUGUAAAAAGCUCUAAGUUCUAUCCCAAGUAUUACAGACUACACACAGACACACAAACACAGAGAGCAAAGGGGUGGAUAGGUAGGUGAAUGAGUAGGUGGAUGGAUAGGAUGACAGAUGUUGAUUUUGUUCAUGAUAACUAUUUUUACAUUAGUUCUUAUUGUUAUAAGUGCUAUAUUGGAAAUAUCUUGAUUAUUGGCUUGAUUAUAAGCUUUUCCUGCAUCGCUGGUAAGGGAAGAGCUAGAAGUGUUUUCCUUAUUUGAUAGAUAGAAAUUAUAGGUGCUAUGAACAGUGAUGUUAUGAGUAACUCUUGUUUACUAAAUAGCCAGGAUUACAAUGAUGCAAGGUUUACAAAUUGCUAGCCCCACAGCUCAGUUUCCUGUUCUUCAAAGCCUUCUUAAUCAUUGUUUUUCCCUCAGUGAGGAAACUCUUGUGUUUCUACCCAGUGUUCCAGCUGACUGCUAAAGGGAUGGCUUGUCAUGUUCUACUAGUCAUCUCUGUUUCAUUAUUAUGGAUUCUAAGGCUGUGUGUGUGUGUGUGUGUGUGUGUAUCUCUAGAGAAAAUGAGCCUUUGUAUUAACAUUCUCUUCUUUUGCAUCAGAUGUCACAUUAAACAGUCUUCUUUCCCCUAUUAGAUAAAAUAGUGAAUAGAUCCCAGAAAAUUAGGGAGGCACAGCUGUUGAAGUCAUGGCAGAAGCAAUGCUUACAUAUUUCGCUAAUAUGUGGGUCUCAUGCUUCUAGAUUCAUUCUCUGUAGAUUCAGCAUUUUGCUAUGAAAGGCUUUUUUCUGACAGAUGGCAUGCUGACUUUUUGCAAUAUACACAACCCACCUUGCCACACAUCACAUCUCUAUGCUGAUAAACAGAGCUGAUGGGAAGUGUUAGUGUUGACAGCAAUUCAAUGAAGCUAUUUCCAUGUCUGUGAUUUGCUGAGUCUACAUGAUUUCUU